rnacentral:misc_RNA from 1 species
GAAAUGCGAUAAGUAGUGUGAAUUGCAGAAUUCAGUGAAUCAUCGAAUCUUUGAACGCACAUUGCACCCUUUGGUAUUCCAAAGGGCAUGCCUGUUCGAGCGUCAUUUGUACCCUCAAGCUUUGCUUGGUGUUGGGCGUCUUGUCUCUAGCUUUGCUGGAGACUCGCCUUAAAGUAAUUGGCAGCCGGCCUACUGGUUUCGGAGCGCAGCACAAGUCGCACUCUCUAUCAGCAAAGGUCUAGCAUCCAUUAAGCCUUUUUUCAACUUUUGACCUCGGAUCAGGUAGGGAUACCCGCUGAACUUAAGC